AACGAACGCUGGCGGCAGGCCUAACACAUGCAAGUCGAGCGAGGUGGCAACACCUAGCGGCGGACGGGUGAGUAACGCGUGGGAACAUACCCCUUUCUACGGAAUAGCCUCGGGAAACUGGGAGUAAUACCGUAUAAGCCCUACGGGGGAAAGAUUUAUCGGGAAGGGAUUGGCCCGCGUUGGAUUAGGUAGUUGGUGGGGUAAUGGCCUACCAAGCCGACGAUCCAUAGCUGGUUUGAGAGGAUGAUCAGCCACACUGGGACUGAGACACGGCCCAGACUCCUACGGGAGGCAGCAGUGGGGAAUCUUAGACAAUGGGCGCAAGCCUGAUCUAGCCAUGCCGCGUGAGUGAUGAAGGCCUUAGGGUUGUAAAGCUCUUUCGUGG
rnacentral:rRNA from 1 species